UUAUCGACAAAGGUCAGUUUGAAAGAUUUUUGUCAGAUUAUGAGAGGCGUUUGUCACGCUCAUCCCGCUCGUAAUUUCCGGUAAGUGUUUUAACAUAAGUAUACUGAAUAGCUAGUUGCCCACUGGCCGAUUCAACAAGUCAAAUUCGCCCAAAUUAAAGCCGAUGGCUCCUCUGACUGACGACGGUACGGAACACACCGAACAGACUCGAGUCACCGACCUCGCCAGACUGUCAGAUAAUCGG